GCUUCAGUAGUUUAAGCAAAACAUCGGUCUUGUAAGUCGACAAUCAGUCCCCAAAACU
rnacentral:tRNA from 1 species